UACGGAGGGUGCAAGCGUUAUCCGGAUUCACUGGGUUUAAAGGGUGCGUAGGUGGGCAGGUAAGUCAGUGGUGAAAUCUCCGGGCUUAACUCGGAAACUGCCAUUGAUACUAUCUGUCUUGAAUACCGUGGAGGUCAGCGGAAUAUGUCAUGUAGCGGUGAAAUGCUUAGAUAUGACAUAGAACACCACUUGCGAAGGCAGCUGGCUACACGAAUAUUGACACUGAUGCACGAAAGCGUGGGGAUCAAACAGG
rnacentral:rRNA from 1 species